UUCUGGGAGCCACUUUUGAAAAUCCUGACAAAGCGCUGCUGCACUUGGCCUUGUCACACAGCUCGGGGAGCCAGCUCACUGGGCCUUAGGCCAGCCUGGGCAGGUGCAUUCCUUAGCAGAAGAGAAGUCCUGAAAGGAGGAGUUUUGAGACCAAACCUUACUGAUGAAUUCUCUAUAUAUGGAUCAUGAUACACAGCUAGAAAUCACCAGGCAGAGAUGCUCCCAGUAUCAACUCUGUGACAGCCUUACUGAGAAGAGUUUUUAAAUCAGCUGAAUCCCGAAGAUGCUGUUCUUUCAAGGAUCCCACUUGAUUCUCAAGCUCUUUCCUAGUCAUCUGCAGGAUGCUGAGAUCACUGGAUAUUGAUUAUAGUUCCAUGUGCUAUACGGCCGGACCUUGUUGUUUAUCCAUCCUAAAUAUAAUGGCUUGCAUCUGCUAAUCCCAAACUCCCAGUCCUUCUCUCCUCAACCCCACCUCCUCCAUGGCAACCACAAGUCUGCUCUCCAUGUCUAGCAAUUUUCUUACUGAGAUCAAGAACCUACACUGCUGGGGCUUCCCUGGUGGCGAAGUGGUUAAGAAUCCACCUGACAAUGCAGGGGACACAGGUUCGAGCCCUGGCCUGGGAAGAUCCCACAUGCCGCAGAACAACUAAGCCUGUGCGCCACAACUACCGAGCCUGCACUCUAGAGCCCAUGAGCCACAACUACUGAAGCCGGCGUACCCUAGAGCCCAUGCUCCGCAACAAGAGAAGCCACCACAAUGAGAAGCCCGCGCACCACAACGAAGAGUAGUCCCCGCUCGCCACAACUAGAGAGAAAAGCCCGUGUGCAGCAAAGAAGACCCAAUGCAGCCAAUAAAUAAAUAAAUAAAUAAAAUUAUUUUUUAAAAAAGGAAGAUAAAUGAAAGCCUUAUUGAGCUAAAUAAAUACUCAUUUUAUUUAGAUGUGCAAG